rnacentral:rRNA from 1 species
AGCGAACGCUGGCGGCAGGCCUAACACAUGCAAGUCGAACGGACCCUUCGGGGUUAGUGGCGGACGGGUGAGUAACACGUGGGAACGUGCCCUUUGGUACGGAACAACUCAGGGAAACUUGAGCUAAUACCGUAUAAGCCCUACUGGGGAAAGAUUUAUCGCCAUUGGAGCGGCCCGCGUCUGAUUAGCUAGUUGGUGAGGUAAAGGCUCACCAAGGCUACGAUCAGUAGCUGGUCUGAGAGGANGAUCAGCCACAUUGGGACUGAGACACGGCCCAAACUCCUACGGGAGGCAGCAGUGGGGAAUCUUGCGCAAUGGGCGAAAGCCUGACGCAGCCAUGCCGCGUGAAUGAUGAAGGUCUUAGGAUUGUAAAAUUCUUUCACCGGGACGAUAAUGACGGUACCCGGAGAAGAAGCUCCGGCUAACUUCGUGCCAGCAGCCGCCGCCGUAAC